GCCAUGAUGGGAACUCCUCUCCUGCCUGUUCUAUGCUUGGUACAUUACAGGUGGUGUUGGAGCUUUACCCAGAGGUACUGGCCCUUCCUGCCUGCCUCCCCUAACUUCCCUUCCUUACUCGGUGACUUGGCAAAUGAUGACAGUGGUAGGACUUAGCUGGGGACAUAAUGAGACUUUCUAGGCAAUCCCUGGGCCCUUGGCUUUAAACCUUGAGCCAAGGCCAAGAGGAGGAUCUCCAGGACCGUUUCUUUGGUCCAUGUAAAAUGGCUGGAAUCUUGCAGGAAGUGAGAAGAGGACAUUUGGUGUGAAAGAGGCAGAAGAGCAGGAGGCAGAAGGAACUAUUCAGGAAAGGGCAGAGGAUGCUGGGCUCAACCGGAAAAAAAUGCAAAUAAGUCAACUCUCCUUAUUUUGCCACAGUUAUGUUCUGAUAAAGUCAAGGGAACUUUAUAGUGAAUUUGGGAAUAGCAAACUCUUUCUCCGGGGAAGAAUACAGGGUUAGAUCCCUGCCAGCCUCUGGUCACAGCAACACUCUUGUCAACCAAUGAAUACAUGACCUUAUUUUAUGAGUAUUUCACCUUAAAGACAUCCUAUUGAACGUAUAUGAUUGGUUCACUAGCAGUAAACCCACAACUCAUGCCUGAACAAAGUUUAUCUAACACAAGUGUCUCAUCUAACACAAGGACUUUCUGUGCGUGGCCCAUCAGGUCUUCUUCCACUGGGCAGCCACUUCAGCACUGCUCUUGAAGACUGUUUUAAAGCCGCAAAAUCACCAAGAAAGAAGACAAAAAUAUGAAAAGUGGCGCUGAGCAGACCAUAAAAAGAUACCGAUGGACAGUAUGAGAGCUGAGAGAAGAAGGCAGAGCAUGGCCUUGUUGGACCUUAGCUGGGAACACGCAUAUCCAGCAACUCAGAAUGUUUACCCUUCAUCAGAGUGCCCUGAAAGUGCUGUAAGUAUUGACUUGGGAGGUUGCAAAUAAAUGUUAGCAAGGUGGCAAAUUCAUGAAUAUGGACUCUGCAAAUAAUGAUGAAAUAACGAGGAUGGUCUGUAUGUGCUUCUUCUCUCAGAAUAUCAGAGAGGAAUAAUGAUGUGAACAUUUCCAGACACUUAGAGGGCACCAGGCACUGUUCCGGGUACUUUGCUUGUGUUAACUCAGUCCUGGCACCAGCCUGUGGGGUAGAUAUAAUUUUUAGUACAUUUUACAAAUGAUGAGAUUUAUAUAGAAAGGUUUAAACACUGCCUGUUCUUAGCAACUAGACUAGACGGCUUCUCAUUUUAUUCACAUUCUAAAACCAGCCCUGGCGUAUCAAGGAGUCUAUGGCCAAAAUCAAGUGAAUAUUCAAAAUGAAAUGGAGAGUUCAAAGAGAUACUAUGCUUAUGCUUGGGACUCAAGAAGGCACUGAGAGGCCCUCUGGGGUGGGAUGGUGGCUGUUGGGAGCAAUUGAGCUGCCCAGCUCUAAGGUCUUCAAGGCUCAACAGGACUUCCUGUUUCAUUUUACCCUGGGGCACUUGGAUUCUUGAGCCAGCCUCUGGAGCGUGCCCUCACUAAGUAGGGAGGCCAGCCUGGAGCGUUUCUCUGCCGUGGGUGCUGUUUAGCAUCAGGCCAGUCCUCUCAAGGAAUCAGCAGUUCGUUGGUCUGUAGUAAAAAGCAGAAGCGAAAACAUCACCACCUGCCUUCCUGGUCUCCCGGCAGGUGGAGCAGUGCUAUGUAUGUGGCUAAGACACUGUGAGUUAGGAGAACAAAGAGCCAUGACAGACUGUCUCCACGGGGAAGGGCAGGCUGGACUUCACAGGUCCUGGCCCCAGAUUCACCAUCUAACUACCCCAGAAGGCGCUCCUCCAUCACUGGGCACGGGUACAGAUGCUGAGCUCUUCCUCAGUCAGGCAUACACUCUCCCCUCCCACCCUCUACUCACUCCCCUGAAGCCUGCCAGGAUGUUUGAACAAGACAUUGCCCAAGGCAUGGAGGUGGGGGAAGAUGGAGUGGGAGGAACAGAAGAGAAUGAACCCCCCCACUCCCAAAAGCUGGAUGGGUUGGAUUAAGCCACUGGGUGUGACUGCCCAACGGGCCUAGCUUGGGGGCAGGGGUGGGGGAGGGUUCAGGCCCCUCCCUGCCAAGCUCCUGGACCACCUCCCCCCUUGAGCACCCCUGCCACCUGGGGACAAGGACAGUACAUUUCUAUUCCGAGAGGUCUAAGAAAUCAAAUUCCAUUUCCUCCCUAAGAUCCACCUUCCUGAGUUCCCAGUUUCCCUUGUCUGUCUCAGCGUUUCCUUUUUUUUUUUUUUUUUUUUUUUUUUUGUAAGCGAACAAAGGCUUUAUUACAGGAAAGCAAAUAGCUCCCAGGACAGCUGGGAGGGGGGAGAAGAGCCCCCUUCUCUAUUGUCUUAUAGGGGUUUUUAUCCCUUAAAGAUGGGGGGUACCAACGUGGGGUCCACGUUCUCCCAUUGGCCUUACCCAGUUACCUUUAUCAGUCCUUGUCCAAUAGGGGUCUUAGGGGUGGAAAUGUCCCAUAAGUCUCAUGGUUUCUUUGCCCUUUUCUUUCCAUAAACUGAGUCACAGGGGCUUAGAGAUCAAUGUCCAUCUGGUGUCGGUACACUCCAAACAAAGGAAACAAACAAAGCCUGUGGGGAUGUUGCUCCCUGGAGCCCUUAAGCCACAAAUGUUAAUCAGUGGCCAUAUCGAAGGAUGCAUCGAAGCCCAUACUCCUACAUGUCUCAGAGUUUCCUAACCCCACUCUCCGCAUUGUCUCCUGACUGCAACCAGACCAGCACACCGAUGCCACAUUUGUAAAAGAGAUAUACAGGGCAUCAGGGAAGUUACCACUGGUGAUGCUGCCACUGGGAGAUGUGUGCAUUUUACCCUAAGAGAGAAGUGACAUUACUUCAGGGCUUUGGCCUCAAUUAGUACUUGAUACAGAAUUACUCUUUCAGGUUGCAGGACCCGUGACAUGGAAUUGGGCAGCACACUAAAGAAGGCAGGGCCAGAGGCUUGGAGAAAAGGGGUUCUGAGAGGCACAACCCAUCCACGGAUGGGACAGUGGACUGAACUAGGCACCAAGGAUAUAGUGGGGGAAUGUUAGGUGAGCAGCCUGAGGGAUGCGCAAUUGCCCAGGAAAGACUUGUGAGAUGCUAAGGGACGCAAGAAAGGGAAGGGCACAGAACAGAGCCAGCCUGGGCCCCAGGGACAGUCUAGCUCCUCUCCUGACCCUUGGGGACCCAAGAGCAGAAGCUACACCAUAGAGCUGCCCUGUCUUAAGGCAGCAGGAUGGGUUGUUGUACCCACGUGCUAGUCGGUCAUUGCUUCCCUGGAGCUGGAUGCUGGUGGAACCUCCUGGGGAGCGUCUCUCCUAAGCCAAAGACAAUGCCCCAGAGAAGGUGUCAGGUAUAAGCCCUUGACUGCCACACCCACAUCACCUGGGAGACAGGUGUACCUGCCAAUACCGAGGGUCUGAACAGGGCACCCGCCCUGACAGCAUCUACCACACACAGCUUCUCAGGUGUCCCCCACCCCACACAGGAAGUGUGCUCAGCUAAUGGUGAUCAUUUCCUGCCUGUCCAGAGUCCUUCUUCAGAACACCAAUUUGCUUUAUAAAUAUGUUCACACGUCUUCUGCCUCAUGAGAAAAAAAAAAAAAUGCCCUUGGAAGGAAGUGUGAUGGGCGUGGUUCUACUUGGUGAGGGGCUCUUUGCUUUGGCACACCGUCUUUCUUGAUUUUUCCUCUCAUCCUGCACCCAGAUCCCAAAGGAGCACCUCGGGGUACCAGAUCCAUGAUUUCAUGACUUCUUAGAGGUGCCAGGUCCUUGAUUUCAAGUCAAGAGACUUAAGAAUUAGGAUUGCUGCAGCACUGGAGGUCAGAGCCAAUCAAAAUCUCUGUCAGGAGGGUGAGGUGGUGUUAGACUCUUUCUAGAACAUUCCAACUCUUGGGAAGCAGGGUAGGAGAGAACUGUAGUCCCCCAAAGUGCUGCAAAGGAAUAGAGUCGGAUUUGGUGAGGCAGCAGACUCUUCAGGGCCCAAACCCAAGGCUGAUUUUCAUCUGGCCUCCAGGGCUAGGAAGGUGCUGGCCUGACUCAGUUUUAUGUGCAUGUCAUAUUCUGAUAAUCCUGCACCUAGACACAUAGGUCCAUGUAGACUCCACCAUGGAACAUGAGCAAAUCCUACAUAUUCUGGGAAGAGGGGAUUGGCCAGUGCCUUUGACCUCAUCUACUCUGCCCUUGACCAGACCCUUAUCUUCUUCCCCUCGGAGGCACAAGGCCAGUGUGGAAAACACUAGAGCUCCGGACAGGAAAUCUGCUACCCGGCCAGGCUUGGCCACAAGGUUGGGGAGUCCAGGCAAGUCGUUUCACCUCUCUGAGCAUCAGUUUUGCCCAUUAUAUUGCAAAAAGUAUAAAAUUAGCCAUUCUAAGAGCUCCUUCCAAUUUCUGGGAUUGUUUUAAUUUUUAUUUAUUUUUUUUGAAGAGAUGUUCCACAUUUUUAUUACAUCACCAUGUUCUACCUAUUUUUCUCUAUCCCUUUUGUUUUUUUCGAAGAUUUUUAUUUUUCUAUUAUAGCUGAUUUACAAUGUUCUGUCAAUUUCUGCUGUACAGCAAAGUAACCUAGUCAUAUGUAUAAAUAUAUAUAUUCUUUUUCUCGCAUCAUCCUCCAUCAUGUGCCAUCAGGAGAUUGUUCUUAUACUUUGCUUGAAUAACAUAACAACACCUUCCUCAUCUAGAAUUUAGCUCUAAAAGUCUCCCCUCGUUUCUCCUCAGCCAGAAAGAAAAAGGCCUCUGAGCAUCCAAGUGACAUCAUAUUAAACAUAUCGCAUAUAAGUCAACACUUAGGUCUCACUCGAGACUAUUGAUUCUUUGUGCAUAGUUCUAACAUGUUUGUUCAUCUAGUUUUCAAGAGUUGAUUAGAGCCUAUCAGUUAGAAAGGGACUCAAUACCUGCAAAGAAAAGGGAUGCUGAUAGCAUGAAGUUGCUACAGAAAAACUGUAAAGGGCACCAAAGAAAUAAAAGACCCCAUAAGUCUGGUUCCAGUUCUGUUCACUUCAGUGGGGCCUGAGGGGAUCACAGCAUAAUUGCACAGGGCUGUGUUCAUGCUCCUGGAUCCAGGUUAUCUGUGAAUGCACUUGUUCACCAGAUUCUGUUUGUGCUUUUAUGGAAGUAUAGGAUACAGUUCAGAAGAAAUACUCCCAGGAGGGUUAAAUGGUAAGAAAAGGAAAAUCAGGAGUUCCCGUCAUGGCUCGGCAGAAACGAAUCCGACUAGGAACCCCGAGGUUGUGGGUUUGGGCCCUGGCCUUGCUCAGUGGGUUAAGGAUCCGCCGUUGCCAUGAGCUGUGGUGUAGGUCGCAGACACGGCUCGGAUCCCAAGUUGCUGUAGCUCUGGUGUAGGCCAGCAGCUGUAGCUCCGAUUAGACCUCUAGCCUGGGAACCUCUGUAGGCCAUGGAAGUGGCCCCAGAAAAUACAAAAAGACAAAAAAAAAAA
rnacentral:lncRNA from 1 species